ensembl:ncRNA lncRNA:CR44669 long non-coding RNA:CR44669
ACGCACGUAACACCAACCGAUUGAAGAUCCCAAACCCUGUCAGAGAAACGGAAACGGAAGCAGCCGUCGAGUCUCGUUUUUAACUUCCUCAGGAUGGGCGCUUUGAGCUGAAACCGCCUCAAACGCCACGAAAAAAUGAACACAGACCGCAGGAGCAGGAGGCGACGAAGUGAAAGACACCGCCCGCGGCUUCCAUUUACAGCCCGCCUAAUUUAUGCUAAACGCGUCGCGUCUUUGCAUUUAAUUGUGAAAUUAAAUUUGAUGCGAUUAAUGUUGACACAACAUGCGAUUAGUGCUUGAAUUCUGCACUGUAAAAACUUUUUAAAUGCAAUUAUUUUGGUGGCAUUUUGCAAAGAAAUUAAACGUACUUAGAACCCAAAGAAGACAGAAAAAUUGUAAGAAACAUACAUACAAAUACACAUAAAUUAUUUGUCUUCUAUAUGUAU